GGAAGGGUCCGUAUGUUGGUCUUACGGGUUGAGCUGUAAACUCAAUGACUAUCAGUCGUCGAAGGUUCGAUUCCUUUUCUUCCUA
rnacentral:tRNA from 1 species